UUAGCUCAUAUUUGUAUGGAAUGGGAUCGUUUACCUACGUUUGCCGCUAGGGGCGCUGUUCCAACUGCAUACAAAAUUUCAUACA
rfam:Bombyx mori DNA, contig: Bm_scaf30_contig19059, strain: p50T/Dazao, build 2, whole genome shotgun sequence.